UCCAGGUGCACCAUCGGUAAAUCUGCUUUGGCCUGUUCCUUGCGCACUCUUGGUUCUCUGCCCCAACGGCCCCUUCAGCUCUACUCUGCACUCUGGAAUACAGUACGGCUCCACACCUUGGUGGUUCUCCCCGUCUUCUCCUUUUUCUUCAGGAACUCGGCUCUGGUUCCAGUCUUCAGUGGGUGCACUGUUGGGCCCAGUCCAGGGCACCUUCUGUAGUCUACCUAACCUGACAGACUGUGCUUAGCCUGGUCUCUGGAGUGGAUCCCCCUAAGAGCUGCUCCCUGCUCAGCCUAGCUCCUCCUGCAGACCCAUCCGCCCGGCCCUCUCCCUGGACUGUGUCACCCUUGCUUUUGGGUCAUUUAAGGUCACAUACGGGGUGGAGCGGUGACUCUGUGGCUAAGGAUCUGCACCUGUGGCUGGAAGGUUGCUGGUUCCAAUCCCACAGCCGACAGAGUUACAGGUAAGCAAGGAGGUGUGAAGAAUAACUUGAGCAAACCUGAAAACACCUACCUGGAGGUGAAGAGAC